GCAACCAGGGUUUCUGCAGCAUAUGUUAGAAUGAUACAGAGAAAAUUAGGAUGGCCCUGCACAGCAAGGAUGACACACAAACCUGUGAAGCACUCCAUAUUUUU
rnacentral:snRNA from 1 species